rnacentral:rRNA from 1 species
GGGUUGUGAGGUUAAGCGACUAAGCGUACACGGUGGAUGCCCUGGCAGUCAGAGGCGAUGAAGGGCGUGCUAAUCUGCGAUAAGCGCCGGUAAGGUGAUAUGAACCGUUAUAACCGGCGAUACCCGAAUGGGGAAACCCAGUGUGACUCGUCACACUAUCAUUAACUGAAUCCAUAGGUUAAUGAGGCGAACCGGGGGAACUGAAACAUCUAAGUACCCCGAGGAAAAGAAAUCAACCGAGAUUCCC